rnacentral:lncRNA from 1 species
UUUGUUUCUGGAUCCCAUUACAAUAUGGCUUAUGCCAACUUGUCUCUCCCAGGAGAGGUGAGGCAUCAUGCAGCACUCCACUCAGCUGCGUGGCUGAGCACUGACAAACUCAAUUUGCUGGAGGACAGCAUGAGAUGACACGGUGCAGUUGCUGCUGCUGCGAUAUGGACAAAUGGCCGCUUUUGUUCCAAGCAAGACGUCACCUGUCCUGAGGAAGUGCAUCUGUGCAUAGGAAUGGUCUGACAGCCCCAGGCUGGAGUAUGUGUCUCUCCCAACUACUCUGUCACCCAGGGAGGCUGUGUUCUUCGCUUGGACUGAGUCCUCACCAGCCACUCUUCUUGUUAAGACUUCUCCCCUUCAAACAAGGGACCACCCAACCAGGAAUGACCGUACAACUCACAGAAGCCCGCAUAAAGCCAGUUACAGCUGGCCUAAGGUAUACAAGUAGAAAUAAAAUGGUCUUGAACACUCCACAUGCCGGUGAAAACCUUCCUGCUCAUUCCAGGAGAGGCUGA